rnacentral:lncRNA from 1 species
GAAGCUGCGAAGAUGGCGGAGUAAGGCGUGCCGCUGCAAACUGGCCUCUGGGCCGGGGGCGAGCAGCCCCCGGGAGGCCGAGUGCAUCUGUUGGACCGUGCGAGGAGAAGAAAAAAAAUAUCGGCCAGAGGAGAGGAACUAACCGAACAUUCUUCCUCCCUACCUUAUAGAGGGGAGUGGUCAUCUACACUAAAGCAAAGUGUUAGGCGCGUCCGUGCGAAGAGACCACCAAACAGGCUUUGUGUUCCUUAUCACAGGAAGAAAAUUUUCCUUGACCUUUAGGUGCUUUUAUAUUCAUCUCAAAAACAAAAUUCUGAACUCAGGACUUGGCAAGGUCUCACUGUCGCCCAGGCUGGAGUGUAGUGGCACAGUUUCAGCUCACUACAACUUCACCUCCUGGGCUCAAGCGAUUCUCCCACUUCAGCCUCCUGGGUAGUCGGGACUACAGGCACAUGCCACCGCACUUGCUAAUUUUUUCAGUUUUUGUAGAGACAGAAUGUCAGUAUAUUGCCAGGCUAGUCUCGAACUCGUGAGCUCAAGCAGUCUUUCCCCGCCUCAGCCUCCCAAAGUGCUGGGAUCAUAGGUGUGAGCCACUGUGCCCAGACAGCCAUCCUCAAAUGGACGGAGUCACGUUCUGUUGCCUGGGCUGGAGUGCACUGAUGCAAUCUUGGCUCACUGAAAUCUCUGCCUCCCAGGUUCAAGCGAUUCUCCUGCCUCGGCUUCCUGAGUAGCUGGGACUACAGGCACCCGUUACCACGCCCAGCUAA